UACAGAGGUCUCAAGCGUUGUUCGGAUUCAUUGGGCGUAAAGGGUGUGUAGGUGGCACCGUAAGUCGGGGUGUGAAAUUUCGGAGCUUAACUCCGAAACUGCAUUCGAUACUGCGGUGCUUGAGGACUGGAGAGGAGACUGGAAUUCAUGGUGUAGCAGUGAAAUGCGUAGAGAUCAUGAGGAAGACCAGUGGCGAAGGCGGGUCUCUGAACAGUUCCUGACACUGAGACACGAAGGCCAGGGGAGCAAACGGG
rnacentral:rRNA from 1 species